rnacentral:rRNA from 1 species
UACGUAGGGUGCGAGCGUUGUCCGGAAUUAUUGGGCGUAAAGAGCUUGUAGGCGGUUUGUCGCGUCUGCCGUGAAAAUUCGAGGCUCAACCUCGAACUUGCGGUGGGUACGGGCAGACUAGAGUGUGGUAGGGGAGACUGGAAUUCCUGGUGUAGCGGUGAAAUGCGCAGAUAUCAGGAGGAACACCGAUGGCGAAGGCAGGUCUCUGGGCCACUACUGACGCUCAUGCACGAAAGCGUGGGGAGCAAACAGG